GGGGCUGUAGCUCAGUGGUAGAGCGCUUGCCUUGCAUGCAUGAGGCACUGCUCUCAAUCCUCAGCACUA
rnacentral:tRNA from 1 species